CUAUUCUUAAAUAAUUGAUGAAAUCGCAUUUACGAGUGCCAUGCACUUGCAGGGUUGCAGGGUUUUGUAGUCACUGACCCCAGAGUUGCUCUCUGAUGGACAGGGUGUGGGUCACCAUGGAAACAAGCUCCUUGGCACGGCAGGUGGAAAGUGUGGAGAGGAGUGUGGCAUUCCUGCGGAGGGAGCAGCUGGCCUUGCUGCAUGGUCUGCACCUGGAGAUCCUGUCUUUACAGAAGCGCUGUGCUGAACUGACCUGUGAGCUGAAUGUGAAGCCCCCAGGAAGGACCCAAGCAGGUGAGCCCUUAAAUCUUUCUCUUCCUCCUUGGGUCAUGAUCCUUCCUUGAUUUAGUCUGAGGCUCUGCUUAUUUGACAGUGCUGAAGGGCUGACUAGUUUUUUCAUAGUAUUGUAAACAUCUGUAGAAUAUCUGAAAAAAACAUUGCAGCUGGAAAACACUAGAAUUUUGGAGGCUAUGUUCACAGACUGCAACAGGGCAGCCUACUGUGUUCAUAGGCCCUGGAAGUAGCUGCGAGGUCUUUUAGCAUGUACUGUAUCAGAUGAAAUUGGUACUGCUGGUCAGCAGGCUACAGCUGACCAUGUGAGCUGGUCCUAUAGUCCGUGACUGUUCCUUCCACCAGAUAUUUUGCAAUUGAUCUGUCUGUCUCUCCUCUCAGUCCAUUGCCUGUGCUUGUGUGUUUUUCUGUCUGUGUGUCCUGGAGGAGGGGUUUCCAUUACUGCUCAUGUGCAGGCAAGAGAUCAAGAUGUAGGAGUGGCUGAUUUGAGAGGUCACUAGAGAGUGGUUGCACAGACCUACACAAAGAGGGAAUGAGAGAAAGAGCGAGGAAGACAGGAAGGUCAAAUUACACAGCAUUUUCUAUUUUUGCAGCAUGACUUCACAUGGGAAGGUGGGAGGCACUGUCUGUGACUGGGGAUAAAACAGUGGGUGGGGGCAGGAUGGGGAAUGUUGCAUUAAUUGAUCCAGAAGGAGCAAGAGUUACCCACCCUGAGAGAGCGGGGCUGAAAAGCACUUUGUAUUGUAUUACUUUUAAGCCACGCCAACAAGGAUCUGUGUAGCACUUGAUGCAAUGGUGGCCUUAAAACAUCGAAAACAGCUGUGCUGCCAUUAAUUGUUGACAAAUUAGACAAUAUAAUCCUGCAUUGGCUCUUUCAUGAUGCUGCUGGGAGGUCAGAAGUCACACAUGGCUAAUGAAACAGCAUGGCAAAAUUCCCCCAAGUCUAAAUUCCAUGGUGACAGAUGGCAUGGCCUGUCAGUAGCCCCUUUUAUUGGGGAUUGAGAAGGCUGGGAUCUGCUUGGCAGACAAAAUGCCCUCUAAUCUGUGUCCAUA
rnacentral:lncRNA from 1 species